UUCAUCCUUCCCAUGGCUUACCGCUACAUUGUGUUUACUUUCUAUUUGCUCCCCCUGGAAUAUAAACUCUAUGAAAGCAGGGUCGGGGUCAGUCUCAUUCUACAAUCUUUACUUAUAAAAUGUCCGGCAAGCAGUAGGCCUUCACUCAAGGUUUUUUGCAGAAGUGAACGAAGCCCAAAUCCCCAAGCCUGUAGUCUCAUCCCUGGCAGAGGACGUUGGAUGAAACCGGGCAGGACAGCGGAGCAAUGCAUUCCUGCGGUUUCUCCCCCUCCCACUGUUCCAGCUCUGAGAUAACUGCUCAUUUACAAGAGGGGGAACAGAAAACCUUAGAAAGGAGAUGUGUGUGCCAAACACUAAACUCAGGAGAACGCUGGCUGGUUGUUUAACGGUUUCAGACUCAUCAAGGAGCAGAAUAGGAGAAAUACUUUAAAAGGAAGAUGAAUCUGCAAAGAGAUUCCUCCAUUACCAUCUUGGACCCAAAUUUUGUUUCUUCAUACUGAAAUGUCUUUUCUGCAAAUUGUCACAGCAGUGGAAAUGUCACUUUACUUCUAGCUGGAAAAUGACGUGAUGGCAGGGCUAUAACAGCCUGCUUUGUCCUUGAGGUAGCCUUGUGAAUGAAAGCUACGUAUGCCAGAAGUAUAAAACAAAGAUUGAAUCCCUGCCACUACGUCAUAUCAUCCCUGGACUGUUUCUGGAAUACUGGAACAGGAAAGAGAAAUAAACCAUCUACUUAAGCCAUUGUUUAGUGGUAUAUAAUUCUUCUCUCUCUGUCAACCUUAAUCCUAAUUGAUAAUACUACCACAAAGAAAGGUUUUGAGAAUUAAAUAAGAUCAUGUGUGAGCUAUAUAGUAGGUGCCCAAUAAAUGAUGCCUAUUAUCAUUAUCAUUAUUAGUAAUAUUCAAAGAUAAUAUUAUGGACUAAAAACACAUAAGAACAAAAUAUAUCUAUAAAAACAUACCUUUCAGACCAGUGGCAUUAAGGAAUUAUAAAGACACUUAUCAAAGAGUAAACUCUAUCCUGGGAAGCAACUUUUGAUGUCAUAAAAUAAAUUACCUGCAGUAAAGAAAAGAGGUCAAAUACCUAGAAUAGCUCCAAAUCUCCAUGGUAACCAUAUGAUUUCUUAUACCAAGUGUCGUCCAAUGUUCCCAGUCUGAAAGACCUUGAAUAUUAAUGAGUGUAAUUGAAAAUGGAGUAUGUACAUGUGGUUUGCUGUAAAGCAAAACCUUCUGACUGGUGAUGGAUCUCCUAAUGGUAACCUCACCUGUCAACAAAAGCACUAUGCAAGAAAAGAAACAAUUUUCAAAAGAUAAUCAUUAAAAACUCAAAACAAGGGCCAUUAGUAGGAAAAAAAUAUAUAUAUAUAAUAAAUAAAUAAUUUAAAUACAUAUUUGAUUUCUGCACCAUAAUUUGUCAUGAAUCCUUUGAAGUUACAUACUAUGCAUCAGAGAUAUUGAUGGAAAAUUUGAAGAUUCCAGAGCAGCCUCCCUCCACCCCUAAUCAGAAAUUAUGUCCAAAAUAAUGUCAUAAAAGAUUUUUUAUUAAUGCAACCCAAUAAUUUUUCAAAGUAUCCGUUGUCAUGAUUUUUACCUCUUUCCCAUAAUUCUGCUGCCAGAGCACACCUUAGAUGACUAGCUUGUUUUCCCUAAUAAUUCCAAUGUCAAUUCUGUUUAUUUACUUUUCUAGUUUUUUAUACCUAAACUAGGUAUCUUGAAGCCCCAGCAGAAAAGGCAGGAGUAAAUUUUACAGCUGCUAUGCAUGCAUACAAUUAGCAUUUUUAAGCAUCCUCAUUGCAAAGAACUAGCAAUGGAAUCUAACUAUGGUAAAGGCUAAGGACCGUACUCCACCUCACCAGGAUUCAUAUUUUGAGACUGAGACCAAAAAAAAAGAGGGUGGGAGGGGAUGUAGGUAUCAGCAUCAAAAUUUUGCAAGUAAACAAAGGUAAUGCUCAGAGGUAUUAGAUAACUUGACCAAGAUCCCACACCUUGUUUGUGUAUAGCCCAAAGAAGAUCUGAUUUUAAAUCUCUUUAACGCUAUAGCUUGGGCUUUUUUCAGCAAGCCAUUUGGCCUCCACCACAGAGAGGAUAAAAGCAAGAUUUUGUCUUUAACACUUGGAAUAGUAAUGCAAUAAUCAUGAACGUACUUGGGAAGUUGCAGAAAAGAUUUUUUGCAAAAGGGUGACUCAACAUUGAGAAAUAGUCAUUAAGAGAUUUCAGAUCAAAGAAAAGAUAUUCUUGAGGCCCUAUAUGUUUUGGAAUUCAGAUUUUAGAAAGAAAAAAAGGGUACAUAUGUCAUAUAUUAUGACACAUUCCAGCAGGAUCUAGAUAGCACCCCUUUAUCAAACACAUUAAUAUUUCUGUAGUAAACCAUAUGAGAAGCUAUACAAGUCACAUGUCAGUUCAGUAGUUUUUACUGCUAAAUGAGUUCAGGUCAGAUCAGGUUUUGCAUUUCUAAAAUACUUCCUCUUUUCAGAGCUUUUUGGAUCUCAUAAUUACAGGUAAAGGACAUGGACCUAUACUAUGUCCUGUCUCACCAGGUGAGGGAAAUGCUUAUGAUAAACUGACUGAUUAUCAGAACUGACUUUCCACUAACAGAGUGAAGACAUCACAUAUGCCAAGUCUGUCCCAUAUAGUUGGCACAAGCUUGUUUCCUGUUUUGUGACUCAAUUACAGUCCAUUAUGUGACUCAAUUGAAUUUAAAAGUAGGCCAUGAAAAUGAAAUACAGGUCAGUAUACUAAAAUCCAGGUAAGCUAUUAAGUAAUUCAUGUGUGACUGUUCUAAUUCAAUGUUAAAGCUAUACUUAACUUCCAAGUUUUACAUUUAACUUGCAAAUAAACAAUUGAGAAAAUUAGGAACUACUGUAAAUAGAUUAUUAGUCCCUGAAAUUCAAUCAUUAAUGUCUCAUUAAGAUCCAUCCUGUUCAGAUUAAAGGCAUUUGUUACCAUUCUUUACUUUGACAAAUAGAUUUGAAGUAAACAUUCAGCACAUUAAAAUCCAACAAACGGGUGCCUGACUGGCUCAGUUGGUAGAGCAUGCAACACUUGAUCUGGGGGUUGUAAAUUUAAGCCCCAUGUUGGGGUGUAGAGAUUACUUAAAAAUAAAAUCUCAAAAAAGUAAAAAUAAAAUAGCUGAUAUAAUAAAAUAAAAUAAAAUUUAGCAAAUAACUUUUUCUACCCUGUAACUGUAUAAACCUGUGGAGUGAUUUAAUGUGUUAUCAUUUGUCAUUUGUUGAGAAGCCUCUAUAUCUGGAUCCAACAAAUUCUAAAACUACAGAUAAAUUUGCAAGUAAGCAUAUACUCAUCAAAAAAAUUAACCGCUAAAUCUCUCUCAUCAUUUUACUCUAGUAUUGCAUUGAUAUUUUUCUCUCUUCUUCUAAGUCUCCUUUUAUGUUCAGUCUUCCUAGAUUCUACAACUGAAACUAUUUUCCCAUUAUUUUCAAAUGUUGAAAUAUGUUGGCUUUGAUCUUCAGGAGAUUUAUCAAUCAAUAUUGAUAAGAACUAGGAAAAAUAGUAAAACAAUGAAAAUGUACAUAGACAUCUGAACAGCGAUUUUGGCAUAAUUAUUUUUCUUAAUAAACUUGUGACCUGUGCUAAUGGCAGCAUUGUCAAUGUGACAAUGG